CAGCCGCCGCGGUAAUACGAAGGGUGCAAGCGUUAAUCGGAAUUACUGGGCGUAAAGCGUGCGUAGGCGGUUUGUUAAGUCUGUUGUGAAAUCCCCGGGCUCAACCUGGGAAUGGCAAUGGAUACUGGCAAGCUAGAGUGUGUCAGAGGAUGGUGGAAUUCCCGGUGUAGCGGUGAAAUGCGUAGAGAUUGGGAGGAACAUCAGUGGCGAAGGCGGCCAUCUGGGACAACACUGACGCUGAGGCACGAAAGCGUGGGGAGCAAACAGGAUUAGAUACCCCGGUAGUCCCUGUCUCUUAUAC
rnacentral:rRNA from 1 species